UAGAAGUUAGUUAAAUAAUAUAAUAUAAACUUGUCAUGUUUAAGUCGGGGUCCCACUUUUAA
rnacentral:tRNA from 1 species